rnacentral:lncRNA from 1 species
GAAGGAAGAACGUUGCUUGGGCAAAAGGAGCAUAUUCUCAGGAGACGGGGCCCCUGCCUGCCACACCAAGCAUUAGGCCACCAGGAAGACCCCCAUCUGCAAGCAAGCCUAGCCUUCCAGGGAGAAAGAGUCCCACAGAUUUUUAACAAAAGUAACGAUGGUUUCACCACCACCAGGAGCUAUGGAACAGAAGUUUCUUCAGGACAUAACUGAUGCUGAGAAGUAUUUUAUUGGCUUAAUUUACCAUCGUGAAGAGAAAAGGUGGCGUUGGAUCAACAACUCUGUGUUCAAUGGCAAUGUUACCAAUCAGAAUCAGAAUUUCAACUGUGCGACCAUUGGCCUAACAAAGACAUUUGAUGCUGCAUCAUGUGACAUCAGCUACCGCAGGAUCUGUGAGAAGAAUGCCAAAUGAUCACAGUUCCCUGUGACAAGAACUAUACUUGCAACUCUUUUUGAAUCCAUACAGGUCGUCUGGCCAAUGAUUCUUUUACUUACCUAUCU